CACAACACCAGGGAACACCCGAGCAUGUCUCCUAGUGCUUCCCCCGCCUCCCUGUCGUCUUGAAACCCAGGAAUGUGUCCGGGGACAGGAUAUGUAUAUAAAGAUCCCCGGGCGUGGAUGCGAAAUCUGCCCGCUGCAUAGAAGCGACUCAAUGUCUUCAAUGUCUCAUAUCUAUAAUUUCUCUGUCCCAUAUCUAUAAUGUCUCUGUCUCAGUCUCAUAUCUAUAAUGUCUCAAUGUAAUAUCUGUAAGGUGUCGUAUUCAUAGUGACUCAUGUCUAUGAGGUCUGGUAGUACACGUUGCUGUGUGCCGCAGGAAACAUCCACGCCUGCUCACCAGAGUAGUUGAUCAGCUAAAUCAAUGAUUUCUCUUGGUUAGUUUACACAGAGGGUGUGUCGUCUACUUCUGAACGGUCCGAACUUAACCCCGCUCCACACCGACAUAGAGACCGGGGGUCCGGUGUUUGAGUCGGUGGUCGGUGGUUUUAAAGCUGUUCACAUUGUGCUUUAUUUAUACACGAAAGCGAGUGCAGACUGCUCCCGUUUGGCCUCAUAUAAUGCUGACGACUGCUGAAUGUUUGAAUUGAAUCAAGUGGAAUAAAGGCAACAACCAAAACCUGUGAAUUGGACUACAUCCUGGAAAUGAAGAGACAGUGUGACCGAUAUUGACGAGGAAACGGAACACAGAAGACCACAGAAGGAAAGCCCUAACAGCCGAGGAGGGUGUGCCCAACCACGAUGCAGUCCCGGAGGACUCCCUAUAAUUUAGUUUUUAGGGGUAAUUUGGUUUCUUGUCAGUAUUUAGGUUUCUGAUGAUCCAUCUCACUAAUAAAAGGCCAUUUAAAGAGACCCUUGUUAAUUACCACAGUCAGAGAAACGGCCUUCAAAAGAGUUGAAACCUUUGAAAAACAGACUUAGCCUGUGGUCACAUCCAAUUGGCUGCGUUACAUGUGCAGUAAAGAUGGACAUGUAUGCCUUCUGUUGUAUCAUAAUGUACAAAUAUAGCCUGCUGUGGGUUGA